rnacentral:rRNA from 1 species
UACGAAGGGGGCUAGCGUUGCUCGGAAUGACUGGGCGUAAAGGGCGCGUAGGCGGUUUGUACAGUCAGGUGUGAAAUUCCCGGGCUCAACCUGGGGGCGGCACUUGAGACGUAGGAACUGGAGUGAGGAAGAGGGUCGUGGAAUUCCCAGUGUAGAGGUGAAAUUCGUAGAUAUUGGGAAGAACACCGGUGGCGAAGGCGG